rnacentral:rRNA from 1 species
UACGUAGGGCGCAAGCGUUAUCCGGAAUUAUUGGGCUUAAAGAGCUCGUAGGCGGUUUGUCGCGUCUGCUGUGAAAGACCGGGGCUCAACUCCGGUUCUGCAGUGGGUACGGGCAGACUAGAGUGCAGUAGGGGAGACUGGAAUUCCUGGUGUAGCGGUGAAAUGCGCAGAUAUCAGGAGGAACACCGAUGGCGAAGGCAGGUCUCUGGGCUGUAACUGACGCUGAGGAGCGAAAGCUAGGGGAGCAAACGGG